rnacentral:rRNA from 1 species
GGGACAGAACAUAAGGGCGUAUGGUGGAUGCCUUGGUUUGAAACGACGAUGAAGGACGUGGCGUGCCUGCGAUAAGCCUCGGGGAGGUGGCGAGCAACCUUUGAACCGGGGAUGUCCGAAUGGGGAAACCCAAUUUGGCAAAACCAAAUUACUCCGAUUUUAAUCGGAGAGUGCACCCAGGGAAGUAAAACAUUUCAGUACCUGGAGGAAAAGAAAACAACACAUAUCUCACUUACGUUCGAUAUGCAAUUUCUAAUUAUCUAAUGUCUAAUUUCUAAUUAUUUUAGGAAUUAGAAAUUAGGAAUUAGUCAUUACAUCGAGCGCAAGCGAGAUGUGCAAAUUCCCCUAGUAGCGGCGAGCGAAAAGGGAACAGCCCAAACUUAACUAGUGAACUAGUUUACUAGUCAACUAGUUAGGGGUUGUAAGUACGGUUCGUUUGGGAGCAAUCCCAAGGAGAGUUAAUAAAAUUAAGACUUCGUUAGGAAAAUCGGCUGGAAAGCCGGGCCAUAGUGGGUAAUAGCCCCGUAUUCAAAAACGGUCUUAUGCUCUCUGAAUCGUUACCCUUCGAUUAAACUCAGGGUGUUAUAUCCUGAGCGAAGUCGAAGGAUUACUUGAGUACCUCGACGCAUGAAUGGGUCGGGGGAAUCCGGGAGAACUAACUCCCAAGGCUAAAUACGUUUCAAGACCGAUAGUGAACUAGUACCGUGAGGGAAAGGUGAAAAGCAGCCCGUUGAGGGCGGUGAAAUAGUACCUGAAACCAUAUGCUUACAAGGAAUCGGAGCCCCCACACCUACUUUGGCAUUGUGUUUUUGUUGCAUCACAAACGUAAGUCAGCGGAAUGAAUGUUUCGUUGGCUGUAGUGGAUAUGUGACAAGAAUAACGAAAACACGAUGCAACGAUGCCAAAGUAGGUGUGAGGGUGACGGUGUGCCUAUUGAAGAAUGAGCCAACGAGUUAAUUCGUAUCGCUUGACUAAGUCCUACGGGACGCAAUCAAAGGGAAACCAAGUGUUAAUAGCGCGUUGCAUUUCAGCUUUUAGCUUUUAGCUUACAGUUUUUAGGGGGCAACUUCUAUCAGCUGACAGCUAACAGCUAUAAGCUAGUUUGCAGGUAGUACGAAUUAGACCCGAAGCCGGGUGAGCUUGCCAUGACCAGGGUGAACUCCGUCGAAAGAUGGAGGGAGGCCCGAACUGGUUGAUCGUUCAACGUCAUCGGAUGAGUUGUGGCAAGGAGUGAAAAGCUAAUCGAACUCGGUAAUAGCUGGUUCUCUCCGAAAUAGCUUUUGGGCUAGCGUCUUAAAUUACUUCUGGGGGUAGAGCUACUGGAAGGUGCGAACAGGGGGAAACCUCGUCUCACCUACCAAACUCCGAAUACCAGAAGCGUAUUGAGGCAGUUAGACCGUGGGGGCUAAGCUCCACUGGUCAAAAGGGAAACAGCCCUAACCCACAUCUAAGGUCCCUAAAUCUUUGCUAAGUGCAAGUAAGGUGGUGAGGUUUCUCAGAUAGCGAGGAGGUUGGCUUAGAAGCAGCCAUCCUUUAAAGAGUGCGUAACAGCUCACUCGUUAAGAGAUUUCGCGCCGAAGAUAAUCGGGGCUAAGCAAAGUACCGAAGAUUGGGUCGCCAAUGCUUUGCGUUGGCGAGGUAGGAGAGCAUUCUCUAUGCUGUGAAGGUUAUGGCGUGAGCCGGACUGGAGUGUAGAGAAGUGAGAAUGUUGGCACAAGUAACCACAAGGCCCGUGAGAUCCGGGCCCGCCGAAAACCCAAGGUUUCCUUGGCAAUGGUGAUCAACCAAGGGUUAGCCGGUCCUAAGGCAAUGGCGAAAGCCGCAGCUGAUGGACAGCCGGUUAAUAUUCCGGCGCCCCCUCGCUUUUUGACGGAGUGACGGAGGAAAUAAAAGAGAGCGCAUUAUUGGAUUUGCGUUUCUGUGGCAAGAGCUGUUCUCCAGGAAAAUCCGGAGAGCGGCCGCAAGGCAAAGUUCAUACCGCAGAAGAACUUUCCGCUACGGCGGGAGGGAUUUUCUUUAAGAGCCUUCCUAGAAAAACUUCUAAAAUCAUAAGCGCGGGGACCGUACCGUAAACCGACACAGGUGGGUGGCUCGAGUAGAGCAAGGCGAACGGGUGAUUCCUCUCCAAGGAACUCGGCAAAAAAGCACUCGUAAGUUAGCAAUAAGAGUUGCCCCGUUCACCCCGCAAUUGCGGGGCAAGAGCGGGGCUGCAACAAAAGUACCCCUGGCGACUGUUUACCAAAAACACAGCUCCCUGCGAACUCGUAAGAGGAUGUAUAGGGGGUGACGCCUGACCAAUGCGAGAAGGUUAACGUUGGCGGUCUUGCUAGUUUGCUAGUUUACUAGUUAACUAGUCUGGCUGACCGACCGAAGCCCUCGUCAAUGUCCGCGAUAACUAUAAUCGUGUUAAAGUAGCGUAAUUCCUUGUCUGGUAAGUUCAGACGUGCACGAAAGGCGCAACGACUGGGGGACUGUCUCGGAGAGGAGCCCGGUGAAAAUACAAUGCCGGUAAAGAUGCCGGCUACCUGCAGUUAGACGAAAAGACCCCGGAAGCUUUACUGUAGCUUGAUAUUGGGUUUAAGCUUCUGAUGCGUAGCAUAGUGGGGAGGCUUUGAAGUGUUGUUUUCGGAUGACACGGAGCCGCCAGUGAAAUACCCAUCUUCAGUCGCUUAUAUUCUAACCUUGAGGGCAAAAACCGCGGGGAACAGUAUCUGGCGGGCAGUUUAAGUGGGGCACUUCCCUCCUAAAGAGUAAUGGAGGGGUCUAUUAAGGUCGGCUAGCUCCGGAUGGAAAUCGGAGCGAUAGGGCAACGCCAUAAGCCGGCUUGACUGCGAGGCGGACAUGCCGAGCAGGUGCGAAAGCAGAGCGUAGUGAUCCGAUCGUUGGCAUUAGAUGCCGCGAAAGCUCAACGGAUAAAAGCUACUCCGGGGAUAACAGGCUAGUACCGCCCGAGCGUCCACAGCGACGGCGGUGUUCGGCACCUCGAUGUCGGCUCAUCUUAUCCUGGCGGUGAAGAAGCUGCCAAGGGUUCGGCUGUUCGCCGAUUAAAAAGAUACGCGAGCUGGGUUCAAACCGUCAAAGAGAACCUUAAAACAUUGAGAACACACGGCGGCUUUCCCGCGCGAGCGGGAUCGAAAAACCGACUCAUAUCGGUGAAGUCCUAGUUAUACACAUUGAAUAACAACCUGUCGUAUGCUAGGAUAAUACCGAGGGAAGUCGUAUAUGCUUAAACAUCUUUCAACGACCGAAAAAGCUUACAUCGCCGGAUUUUUAGAUGGCGAUGGAAGUGUUUACGUGCGCGCGAAACCGAAUCCAACUUAUCGUUACGGAUUCCAAAUCGCGCCAUACGUUGUAUUUUUUCAGUCAGCAAAAGAUCGUAAAAAUUUUGAACGAGUAUAUUCUCUGAUAAAUUACGGUAUAGUAAGGAAUCGCAAAGAUGGAAUAAUCGAAUAUACCAUAAACAAGGUUGAUGAUAUAAAAGAUUUUCUUGCCAGCGUUAGGCCAUAUGUAAGACUUAAAAAAGAGCAGUUGGAAUUAAUGCUGGACAUUUUGCGAGUUAAAAAAGACGUGAAAAAUGAUAGCGAUUUUUCACGACUACUGAAACUUGUUGAUAGAUAUAGAGAGUUAAAUUACUCAAAAAAAAGAAUUAAGCGUGUACUGACCCCGUAGAGACUUGGCUCGGUUGAGCCAGAUUCGCCAAAUUGGCGGAUAACACGUCGGUCCCCCGCAGUUGCGGGGUGAUGGUAUAGUCCAAACAAUUAGUAAUAGUUGAGUAUUGCGUGAGACAGGUUGGUCUCCUAUCUACUGCAGGCGUUGAUUCUUGAGGAGAGUCGUUCCUAGUACGAGAGGACCGGAACGAACGAACCUCUGGUCUACCAGCUGUUCCGCCAGGAGCACCGCUGGGUAGCUAUGUUCGGAACGGAUAAGCGCUGAAAGCAUCUAAGCGCGAAGCCGACUCCAAGAUUAGGAAUCGUUGAGGCCCGUGCGAGAUUAGCACGUAUAUAGGCUCUAGGUGUAAGCGCGGCAACGCGUUCAGCCGAGGAGUACUAAAUGGCCAAGUUCUGUCCCGA